rnacentral:lncRNA from 10 species
UUUGACACUUGACUGGGAUACACUACCGGAUCCUCCGAGGGUGAUGGUUCUCAAGAAGGCAGAAGCAAUGGUGACCAAUAGACCUCCUUAAAGGCUGAGCCGCUGGGCACCUUCCUACUCCUCUCGACCGUGCUAGGAUGACUGCAGCAGAGUCCCCGAGUCCUUUGAUGCAAGGGUCUAGCAACCACCAAACAGACAAGCCCUUCGGCCUGUCCUGGAGGGCGUUGAAUGGCAUGGCCUGGAGCUCAACCAGGAGAACCGUGCUCAGGAGGAAGAGACCAGAAGGAUAACUCAAAAAGUUCUGAGAAGUUCCUAAGACCACCUGAAGAGAAGGAGCCUGCUGCCAAUGGUGUGGACACCGCAGUGUGCUUGAGGAGACUUCAGAAACGAGAACUGGUAGGAGAAGGGGGUUGCACAGACCCUUUCCUCAGUUAGGCACCCUCUGCUCCCACCCUCAUGCCCACCCUGACAUCAGGCUAAGGGAGAGGCGCUCAUCCAUUGACAGGUGCCAGGCUGUCCUGGGCCUGGCAAACCCUGGCCUUGUACACCCACUCUCCACACGUCUGCCCCCACCCUCCCAGGGGCAGGGCCGGGCUUCCCUGCAGAGACACAGGGCAAAGAGGGAGAGAGAAGGCCUCAGGCCAGGGCAUGGCCUAGUGCCUCCCAGCGCCAGGUCCUGACAGCCUGAGAGAGCUGGAAUCAAGGAAGGUGAUCCUGGGCCCCAGACAGACGUCAGUGAGCUUCAGCCUCUGGUGGCUGCACACCAGCCAGGGCAGCAGCGCCCCCUCCUGCCUGUGUUCAGCUGUGUGGGCUGCAAGAGGACUAAGGAGAGUUUCAAGGAGGCAGGCAGUGGGGGAGGAAGUGUCCCAGGUAGAGGCUGAAGCUUUAAGGAGGAUGGGAGGGGAGGCUUCACCCGGAAGGAGCUUUUGGAGCAAGGGCCUGAAGGAAAUUGGGGAGAGAGCCUGAGUAUCUUUGGUAACUGGGAAGAGAGCAUUCCAAGCAAAGGGAAAAGAAGAGAGGCUGUCAGACAAGUGUGCACCCACCAUGUCUGGGCACAUCGAGAAGGACCCUGUGGCUGGAGGGGAGGAAGGAGGGGAGAAUGGAAAGUGAGACCAGAGGUGACCUGACCAGGGCCUUCGGAGCCCCGGUGAGGGGCUCAGCGGGUGGGUGUCAUGGGUGUGAAGAGGUAGGUCCCUCAUCACCAGUCAGCAAAGCGUUCCCUGGGCUCAGCUGAAGUCCUGCUGGAGUGUGUGCCCCCUGGACUGGAGGGGAUGGGAUUGGUGGGAAUAAAGUUGUGAGUUUGGAGUUGUGGUGAGCAGAGCACGAAGUGAGCCCCCAGCACUGCCACUUCCGCGUGAGGGGUGAACUGGCCCUGCACUCUCUCCCCUUGAGUGUGGGCAGGACAACCCUCUCUGCCUACAACGGCUCAGCACUCGUACUACUGUGGGACAGUGCUUCUGUGAUUACGUUCCUUUAUAGGAAAAAUUGAUUUUGCAGAUGUAGGUAAGAUCUGGACUCGUUUGACUUUGAGUUUAUCAAGAAGGAUGAUUGACAGACACAGUGGCUACUUGAGAGUGGAGGGUGGGAGGAGAAAGAGGAUCAGAAAAAAAUAACUACUGGGUACUAGGUUUAGUACCUGGGUGACGAAAUAAUCUGUACAACAAACCCCCAUGACACAAGUUUACCCCAAUAAUGAACCUGCACAUGUACUCCUGAACCUAAAAUAAAAGUUGAAAAAGGGGCCAGGCGUGGUGGCUCACGCCUGUAAUCCCAGCACUUUGGGAGAGGCCGAGGCGGGCGGAUCACGAGGUCAGGAGAUCGAGACCAUCCUGGCUAAUGUGGUGAAACCCUGUCUCUACUAAAAUUACAAAAAAUUAGCCAGGCAUGGUGGCAGGCACCUGUAGUCCCAGCUACUGGGGAGGCUGAGGCAGGAGAAUGUCAUGAACCUGGGAGGCGGAGCUUGCAGUGAGCUGAGACUGGGCCACUACACUCCAGCCUGGGUGACAGAGCGAGACUCUGUCUCAAAAACAAAAAAAAAGUU